AGAGUUUGAUCAUGGCGUCAGAUUGAACGCUGGCGGAAUGCUUUACACAUGCAAGUCGAACGGCAGCACGGGGCGAACCUGGUGGCGAGUGGCGAACGGGUGAGUAAUACAUCGGAACGUGCCCAAUCGUGGGGGAUAACGUAGCGAAAGUUACGCUAAUACCGCAUACGAUCUACGGAUGAAAGCGGGGGAUCGCAAGACCUCGCGCGAAUGGAGCGGCCGAUGUCAGAUUAGGUAGUUGGUGGGGUAAAGGCUCACCAAGCCAACGAUCUGUAGCUGGUCUGAGAGGACGACCAGCCACACUGGAACUGAGACACGGUCCAGACUCCUACGGGAGGCAGCAGUGGGGAAUUUUGGACAAUGGGCGCAAGCCUGAUCCAGCCAUUCCGCGUGCAGGAUGAAGGCCUUCGGGUUGUAAACUGCUUUUGUACGGAACGAAACGGCGAGCUCUAAUACAGUUUGCUAAUGACGGUACCGUAAGAAUAAGCACCGGCUAACUACGUG
rnacentral:rRNA from 1 species